UCGGGAAUUUUGGGCAAUGGGCGCAAGCCUGACCCAGCAACGCCGCGUGGAGGAUGAAGUUUUUCGGAAUGUAAACUCCGUAAGAAUGGGAAGAAUAAGAGGGCGCUAACACCGCCCUCGAUGACGGUACCAUUCGUAAGCUCCGGCUAACUCCGUGCCAGCAGCCGCGGUAAUACGGGGGGAGCAAGCGUUGUUCGGAUUUACUGGGCGUAAAGGGCGCGUAGGCGGCGCAACAAGUCACUUGUGAAAUCUCCGGGCUUAACUCGGAGCGGCCAAGUGAUACUGUCGUGCUAGAGUGCGGAAGGGGCAACUGGAAUUCUCGGUGUAGCGGUGAAAUGCGUAGAUAUCGAGAGGAACACCUGCGGCGAAGGCGGGUUGCUGGGCCGACACUGACGCUGAGGCGCGAAAGCCAGGGGAGCGAACGG
rnacentral:rRNA from 1 species